GGACCUCCAGCCGUUCCCAGUCGUCCACGUCGCCUGAGGACAAAGCACAGCACGGCAGCGCUGAGGAAAGGCUUUCACCUGAAAGAGCAGACUGUGCUGGAGUUGUCGCCGUGCCACGCGACCGCUCGCUGAUGAAAUGUCAGAUCAGGAUGUAGUCUCGUGGGAACAUGAUGCCGCAGCCCAUGAUGUCACCUUUGAAGCAGCGAGGACCAAAAGCAUCUCCAACCCCACUGCCAUGAAAGAUCUUCCCGUCAUCUGUCAAAGGGGAAGAGCAAGAAAUGAACAAGGGAUCGUCCGGGAAUUCGCAUGUCUUUUAUGCAGUAUGAACAGUUAGAAUGCCAUAAAUCACAGAACAAUUAUAAAAACGAAA